GCUACACAUGCAGUCGAGCGAGACCUUCGGGUCUAGCGGCGGACGGGUUAGUAACGCGUGGGAACGUGCCCUUCUCUGCGGAAUAGCCACUGGAAACGGUGAGUAAUACCGCAUACGCCCUUCGGGGGAAAGAUUUAUCGGAGAAGGAUCGGCCCGCGUUAGAUUAGAUAGUUGGUGGGGUAAUGGCCUACCAAGUCUACGAUCUAUAGCUGGUUUUAGAGGAUGAUCAGCAACACUGGGACUGAGACACGGCCCAGACUCCUACGGGAGGCAGCAGUGGGGAAUCUUAGACAAUGGGCGCAAGCCUGAUCUAGCCAUGCCGCGUGUGUGAUGAAGGUCUUAGGAUCGUAAAGCACUUUCGCCAGGGAUGAUAAUGACAGUACCUGGUAAAGAAACCCCGGCUAACUCCGUGCCAGCAGCCGCGGUAAUACGGAGGGGGUUAGCGUUGUUCGGAAUUACUGGGCGUAAAGCGUACGUAGGCGGAUCAGAAAGUAAGGGGUGAAAUCCCAGGGCUCAACCCUGGAACUGCCUCUUAAACUCCUGGUCUUGAGUUCGAGAGAGGUGAGUGGAAUUCCAAGUGUAGAGGUGAAAUUCGUAGAUAUUUGGAGGAACACCAGUGGCGAAGGCGGCUCACUGGCUCGAUACUGACGCUGAGGUACGAAAGUGUGGGGAGCAAACAGGAUUAGAUACCCUGGUAGUCCACACCGUAAACGAUGAAUGCCAGUCGUCGGGCAGUAUACUGUUCGGUGACACACCUAACGGAUUAAGCAUUCCGCCU
rnacentral:rRNA from 1 species